UGAGUAAUAAUUGUGUCAUUUUUGUUCCAGGUUAUAAUGCUAGCAGGUAGCUUAGUGCCCACGUGAAGUAGAUGCCCAACAAAUGUUGACUGAGUGAAUAAGUGAAGUGAUUUCUCAAUGAGGGUAACUCUCACAUUCUGAGUUUAUGUACAUCACUCCAUUAUAGGAGGAAAAUCAUAAUUCAACAAGAUGUGAGGUGAUUUAAAAUGCGGUGACUUAAAGGUGACUUUAAGGAUAAUCUAGAAUGAAUAUACACGGAGAAGUUUUGAAGAUCCAGACUUCAGCCUGAAGCAGAGAUGGCCUUGGGAACUUGAAGAUCCAUAGUAUGUUUUUAUGUACUGUACUGACAGUACAAACUACUGCAACUGAACCUUGAGGGGAUAUGGAGAAUGCCAAGACAUCCUGCAUGCUUUCCGAGAGUACAGUCUAUGAAGGGGAGCUGAAAGAUCCAAGCAGACCAAAAUGAAGAAAAUGAAGGCAAUGCCAUAAGUGACAUUCAAGCAGAGAAAACAUUUGUAUUCUGCAAGGUCCCAGAGGAACUGUGUGCCUGUAGCCAAACACAGCCAAGAAACAAGGGAAAUCAGCACUCUCAGAAAUUUGAUAGAAGUCAUGUGCAAAAAAAAAAUUCAAUCUUGAAUAUGUUUUGGAUAAGUGUUGUGUGGAGACGGGAGUUUGAGAGACUAUGUGGUAAAUACAAAACAGAAUUUUCUGCAUACUUUAGUCGCCAAAUGGAUUAUUAACCUGAAGUGUUAAUGAGUUCUUCAGAAUUACUGCCAAGCAUCGCAGAGUAUGAGGCAUUUAAAGGCAUUUGGUGCACCACAGCCUGUGAACUCAAGGCAUUAACUUUCUGGAAGGCUGCUGCCUGGUCACAGGAGGGAGGACAGUGUGAAGGGUCCUGCAGCCGUGGUUCUGAGGUCUGAAGGAAGGAGCACGGCGGGGUUCUAUGUUAUAAUUAAACUGGAACAGAAAACUGACCUCCUUUCUAACAUCAUUCUUCCUUGAUUCAAGUCUUGUAUCUUUUUAUUUCAUGCUUUUCACAUUGGAUAGUGUAAAACAAAAGCAUGUUUCAAGAAUGAUAACAAUUGUUGCCAACUAUUUAUGAAACUUAUGAUGGAUCAAGUAUUUACAUGUGUUAAAGCCAUUUGUUUUUCACAUCCACAAAGAACAAAAUAAAAUAUAGAAUAUAAAACAUUAAAAUAAAGAAAAAUUUCAUAACCAUAUUACAAGGCUGUGAAUCUUCCUUCUGUGAAUUUAGUUUUCUUGUCCUGUUCCUUUAUGCGUAGGGUAAUUGAGUACAAAAGUAGCCUUGAUGAGAAAUUGCUUCCUUACAAAUUAAAACAAAGAUAACAUUUCUGCUGAACUGUCCUUUAAACAGUAUGUGCUGGAUUCAACCAAGACAGCCUUGCAAGAUCUGAGUACAAAAUAUGCAGGUACUUUACGAACCAGUUGUUAAUCACAGCCAUUAUUUAAAGGUAAAUUAUAUAUUAAAAAUUAAAUAAAUUAUUCUCAAUAAAGAAAGGUGAUAAAUCUCAGACUUCACUAUUAUUUUUUGCUGAGUAUUUGAGGCUGCUUGAAUGUGCCGGCGCAAUUUAAUGUUGUGUUAUAUCCCAUGUUUUCCCAUCUAUGAACUGAACAAUAUCUCUUCUGUGAUUUGAAGUCAGCCAUGUGAGGAUAUUUGCACUAUGGAAAUCUACAACUGCAAUGAAAAGAGUUUUAUUUAUUGUUUUGUUGAUUGUCUAGACUUAAAAUGAUGAAGAAAAUGUUAAUAAUAAGGAUUAAACUUAAAAAGUGUAUCAUGUCAGUGCAGAAACUGAAAGAAGUUUCAAUUUAAUGAAUGAGAUUUAUGUGCCAGUCAAAACCGGUUUAAUUAUAGAUCACUAUCACGUUAAAUGAUGACUGUAUUGGGAAAAGGAUUACUGGAUUGGGAUACAGUUCUAUUUGCUAAAUCAUGAUUGAAUUGGUUAGCUAUAGAUAAAAAGCUUUGUCAAAAAGUCAUGAAUGUGUUCAGUGAGAAUAAACUGGAACUGAA